AGCGUUGUCCGGAUUUAUUGGGCGUAAGCGAGUGCAGGCGGCUCGAUAAGUCUGAUGUGAAAGCCUUCGGCUCAACCGGAGAAUUGCAUCAGAAACUGUCGAGCUUGAGUACAGAAGAGGAGAGUGGAACUCCAUGUGUAGCGGUGAAAUGCGUAAUAUAUGGAAGACACCGGUGGCGAAGGCGGCUCUCUGGUCUGUUACUGACGCUGAGCUCGAAAGCAUGGGUACGGACAAGGAUUAAUACCCUGGUAAUCAAGGGCGAAUUCGC
rnacentral:rRNA from 1 species